GGCCGUCAGAGUGACGUGAGUCAGGCUGGUGUGAGUCAGGCUGGCGUGAGGAGAGGCCCGCCUUUAUCAGGGGCGCCCAGGCAGGGCUGCCACGAGAUGUGAGACCCGGAGACGCACGGGGCGGCGGAGGCUUACACGCAACUCUGGACGAAGUGCAGGGGGCCGGGCUCCGGGAAGCAAAGGCAGGUACCUGGGAAAGAAGGAUUCAGUUUCUGAACAAGCCGCUCCUCCACAGCCCCCCGGAACAAGUGGAGUUGGAGACGAGGCCCCACUGUGUUUCCCACAGGAAGUGAAGGGCAGCCCUGACCCGGGCGCGGCGACAGUGGGGUCGGAGGACAGGCCGGAGAGAAAGGCGGCCGCACUCUGGAACCGGCCGGUCCGCCCUGUCUGCGGGGUGCGGGAGACCUGUGCUUGACCAUCGGCACCUUCUGCUUCUGCUGGGAAGCCUCCCUGUGCGUCCCAGCUCAGAGACACCUCUGGUCCACACGACCCCAGAUGCCUUCCGGUGUCCGUGUGGCCCUCUGGCACUUGACAUCAGACCGCGUCAACCCACUGCUGAAACGCAAGGGUUCCCGUUACGUUUAGACAGAGACCCUCAUGCUCCUGGUCCUCAGCAGGCAGGCGCAGCUCGACCCCGGCCUAGAUCUGACCCCCUUUCCUCCUGCUCUUGGCUCAUCCAGUCACCUCACCAAGUGUACGUCCGUCUUGAAGCUCUGCUCUUUGACAGUCUUCCCUCAGGUGGAAGUGUCCUCCUGCAGCAGUCCCGGGACCGCCAGCAGGGUGAGCACGCCGUUCCUCUUCCAAAGCUCAGUCCUUCUCCAUAUUUGGGAAUCUGGAGUGGGCUCCCACUGUCUGCCGGGAGCUGUAGUCCCGGGAAGGUGGCUGCUUCUCUCCCGUGGCAAGCAGGCUGUGCUUUCCCCGGAGGACGUCUGGGGACGGGAGCCCCAUGCUGGUGGGACGGGCUGCUGGACUGCUACCUCCAGCUCUCCACAAGCUGGUUCUGAGCGAGGCACCGCCCUUCUGCGACUCGGUCUCCCCCUCUGUAAAAUGGGGGCAACUCCGUCUUUCUAACUGCCAGGUUGUUGGGUGGAGUAUUAGCCAGCGCAUAUUAAGUGCUCUGAGCUCAUUCCAGUGGGGAUUGCUUUCUAAAUAAAGAUUGUUAUAUUUAAAAGGGAAAAUGAUCAUUGCAAUUGCCUCCACAAACCAACGCUUUGCCUGUAGAUCAGUAAGAUUCCCAUUAAUACCUGACGCGCC